rnacentral:rRNA from 1 species
AGUGAACGCUGGCGGUAGGCCUAACACAUGCAAGUCGAACGGCAGCACAGUAAGAGCUUGCUCUUACGGGUGGCGAGUGGCGGACGGGUGAGGAAUACAUCGCAAUCUACUUUUUCGUGGGGGAUAACGUAGGGAAACUUACGCUAAUACCGCAUACGACCUACGGGUGAAAGCAGGGGAUCUUCGGACCUUGCGCGAUUGAAUGAGCCGAUGUCGGAUUAGCUAGUUGGCGGGGUAAAGGCCCGCCAAGGCGACGAUCCGUAGCUGGUCUGAGAGGAUGAUCAGCCACACUGGAACUGAGACACGGUUCAGACUCCUACGGGAGGCAGCAGUGGGGAAUAUUGGACAAUGGGCGCAAGCCUGAUCCAGCCAUACCGCGUGGGUGAAGAAGGCCUUCGGGUUGUAAAGCCCUUUUGUUGGGAAAGAAAAGCAGCAGGUUAAUACCCCGCUGUUCUGACGGUACCCAAAGAAUAAGCACCGGCUAACUUCGUG